UGCAUCUUCUCUCUGAGAUGAAUGCUGUCCCAGUUGAUGAAUUUCUGAAAUCCUUGCAGAUAGAUAAACUCAGGAGCGACACGGCAAGUGCUCGUUGAAAUUGAUCAGUUGUUGGCCACCAGCUUCACAGCAGGCUUUGAGCUUCCUCAAUCUGGUACUCCUUUGGAUUGAAUCCAACUGUCAGUUGUGCAUCCCUUGUGAUCAUGGUCAUUGAACUUGAUGACGUAGAUACUGGAAGGCCACUGGUGGUAGUCCUUGGACGACGACAUAUUUUGCUCCGUUUUCUCAGCAAUGUCUAUAUAUAUGCUGGCUAGUUAUGGAAAGUUUUUCAAGAGUGUAAUACACACGCAUUGAAUUCAUUUAUAUUUAGCGUUAACUACGCUCUCAUAGAGUUUGUGUAAUUAUAGAGAAUACUCCUCUCCUUUUGGAACUAUCAAAAUUGAUCCUCUGAGUUCGUAACAUUUACAUACCACCUCAUUCCAUUUUACAUGCAGUAUCUAGAUAUUUGAGAGGAUGUUAAUGUUCGAUUUUUCCAAAUAUAAGAGUGUAAUUGUUCUGUAUCUAACGCCAACUGUGAAAGCUAACGGCGUUCUUGAAGUUUGCAGAAGGCUCUCUGUAAGGUGAAAGCAGGAAAUUGACGGCUAGGCGGUCAUCAGACAACCUACUUGUUGAGUUUCUAACCAGAGAUGAAUGCGGAUUGAGCUUUUGGCUUAAAAGUACAUUCCUCCAGGAUGCAGUGAAUGGGGUAACCCUCAAUUUAAAAA